UAAGUUAUUAUUAAUAAUAAAAAAAAACUUAUCCAAAAUCUGAAAGAUAUAUUUUAAAAUAAAAGAUAAUUCCUAUAUAUUUUGUGUUGUUAUUGAAAACUAAAAACAUUAAUAUUAUUCACAGAAAACAUAUAACUUAAUAUUAUUCAAAAAAUAUUAAUCAUAUUUUAUACUCAAUUAUUAAUUUUAAUAAAUAAUUUUAGAUAAUUUUUUAUUACAUGUCAAUAGAAAAAAAAUUUAGUUGAGAGGUUUUAAUGUUAAAGCCCCAUAAAUCUUCUAUCUUUUACUAUAUUAUAUUAAAAUAAAUAUAAAUUCAUGUAUAUAGUUUUAUGUAUAUUUUUAUGUAUAUAAAUGUUUUGAGGAUUAUUUUACAUAAUAAUAGAUAUUUUAUUAAAAUAAAAAACUUUAGCGUGUAUAGAAAAAUUAAUAUUAAAUUAAUUAUUAAAUAUUUAAAAAGCGUGAAAAUAACUUAUUCAAAUUUUUGAAUUGAUAAUAUAUUUCUUUACAAAAUUUUAUAAAAUUAUUAAGCCCGCAAGUACGGGCAAAACACCUAGUUUAAUUAAUAUAACUGAAACUAAAUUAUCUAUAUUAUGUAAGUAGCUAUUAUAUUGCUAUAAAGCAAAAAUAAAGUUUUAUUAUGACAUUAAAAAUAUAUGCUGAAAAAAAAUUAUGUGGAUUUCAAUAAAGUUUUAUUAUGACAUUAAAAUAAAGUUCUUUUCUUUUCAUUUUCAUAUAGCGUUAAAUUUCAUUUUCGGUAUAUUUUUUUCACUUUUAGGUUUAGUGGUUGUAAAUUUGAGGCGGCGAAAGGUGUAACAUCGAUAUAUGGUGAUGCGGAGGUUCCUUUGCAUCAAGACCUAGCUUUGUGGAGGUAGAUGCAGGUCGUGAUCCCCAAAUUUUCUGUUAUCUCCCAAGUUUUCUUUUCGGUUUUUGGUUUCAGUAGCGAGGCGGCUGCAGCUUUCUCGUGAGGAGGUGACUGAUUGUUCUGAAGUUUUGUUGGAGAUUAGAUCCAUGAAUCUUACCUCUCUGCUAUUAGUUUCUUUGAGGACAUUGGCUUGAGCAUGGGGAACUCGGGUUUUCUGAUGGAGGUGGUGGAGGUAAAUUGGUUGUGGAACGUGGCUUCGGCCCCUCUACAUACCGGUUCUGCAUCGGCAAAGACUCUUCAAUUUGUAUGCUUUUGUUUGGUCUUCGUUUCAUUUUUUUUUUCAUCGAUAUGUUAUGUUUUUUUUAUUUAUUUUUUCGAUGGAAUUUACCCUUCUCUUCUUCAAUUUUCUUGUCUAGUUCUUUUUGAAAAUUACCUCUUCGUCCAGUUCGGGAUAAAUGGAGUUUUCGAAGAACAACAGUUUUAGUUGAUGUAGCUGCUGCAGUAGAGGUUUAACUUUGGGCUCGUUUUAUAUUUUGAACUGGUUUGUUCUAGUUUUAGCUCGUUUUUAUUUUCAGCUGUCAUUGUAUGUUUAAAUAACCAAGAAAUGAUAUGAAUAGCUUAAAAUAUAUGUAAUUCAAUAAAUUUGGAACACCGAAAAUUAUAAAGGAAACUUUGCAUCUUGAAGAUUUUUCUUAUAUCACCAGAGCUAAAUAAUCUUCUGUAUAUAAGUUAUUUUACAUAGAAAAAUGCAAUCUUUUAAAUAUAAUAAAUAUGCGAUAAAAAAUGAAAACGAAUGUAAUUGUAUAAUUAAGGACAGACUGAGUUGGAAGAAUGAUGAAUGGAUUGUCUGAUCUUUUUCAUCAUCUUUCCGGCUUUGCGGCCAGCCAGACAUAUUGCUUUUUUUUUGUUCUAAAUUUUAUUUUAUUUUGUUAUUAUUUUCUUACGCAUACAUAAAAGUGUAAAAUGCAUAUACUCAUAUAUAUGUACGCGCAGUUAAAUUGUGGAUUCCACUAACAUAAUAUAUAUAAAUAUAGUUUUUUGUUACUAUUCUACUUCCAAGAUUUUUUUUUCUAUUCUACUUCCAAGAUCUAUAUAAAAACAUUUUAAAAAAUUAUAUUUGUAUGUUACAAAAUAUUUACUGAUUUGUGCUUUUUAGUUUUUACCUAUAAUAAUCAAGUUUUGUUUUAAGUAACUUUAGUUUAGUGAACGCGCAAGUGCGAGCAAAUAUAAACCUAUAUUUUCAUGAUAACUGUUGUGAAAUUUUACGAUUAGAAAUUAAUAAUCUAUUCAAAUUGAAUAUCUGAAAGCGAUAAUAUAAAUGUUAAGCCUUUUUCAAAAAAUAAUAAUACAAACGUUCAUAAAUAUAUUUAUUUUUUUAUUAAUAUAUUUUUGAAUAUAUUUUACAGAGUACUGACAUCAAAAACUAACUAGUGGAAUUCUUAUAAUAAAUUUUUCUUUCGAAUUCUAUAUCAGAUUUGUAGCUUUUUUUUUUUGAAAAGAAAAAAUAUUGUGUUUUCUUUAAUGGUGUAUAAAGUAUGAGUGUUUUUUUUUGUUUUUGAAAAAGCUAAAGUAUGAGUGCUCAAAUAACUUCUCCAAAUGUACUUCUAACUGUGUUUCAUGUCUUAAGCAUGUCCAUAAUUUAAGGUAUCAUCUUUAAGAAAAACAAAUUAAAGGUAUCAUAUUCAUAUCAUAUUCGUGAUAUAUUCCAAAUAGUUUCCACGCAUAAUCAUCCCUCUAGAUUAAUUCUGUUUUUAAUCAGUUAACCAAUUUUCCUUUUAUUUAAAUAAUUGUAGUGCAUCUAGAAUAUGGCAUUUAGACUUUUUUUUUGUUAGACUAUUCCCCAAUUCUAAUUUUUUUAAAAGAAAGGAAUAUUACCUUGAAAUGUAAAAGGGUGUAAAUAAUUGAAUCAAAUUGGAUAAUUAAGAAGAAUAAAUAAUUGAAACACUUUGGCAAAGAGAAACCAAAAUUUAUAAUAAUAAUAAUAAUAAAUUUGAUAAGAAAAAUGACUUGAUGAGGUCAAAUUUUGACUUUGUAAACGACGAAUGAUUAGACACCCAAAUUCUGGUCAGCGAAAUAUAUCAUAAUUAAUCGCAUUAAGGUUUACAUAUUUAUAUAUAAAAGUUAAUAUCACUAAAACCAUAUUCUAUAACCGCUAACAUAUUUCAUUCAUACAAUAAAAAAUAAUUGCUAGCGAAUUUUAUUUUUGGUGAUAUUAGUUAUAAUUUUAGAACAACAUUAACCGUGAGUAUUUUAAUACUUUUUAUUUUUUAGUUAUGUUAUUAAAAUUUAUUUUGUUAAAAUAAUAUAAACUACUAGAAUUUAAACACUUGUCACUUUAAUCAGAAGACCGAUUUUUCAAACUCUAGAUAAAGGACCGAUUCUCAACUGUUCACAUAUUUUUCUUUUUUUCUGAUUUUUUUUUUUUCUAGAACUCCUCUACAACCCAUAGUUGGAGGUGCUCUUAGCUGCCAUUACCAUUCCAUGCUUAUAAUGACUACCUAAUUCUAUGUUUUCUCAUUAUGAAUGCAACCCAAUAAUACGUUACGAAAAUAAUUUACGAAGUGGACAAUUGGCUAAUAGAAUGCUCAAGACACGACGAGACGCUUCGAAUUAUUUUCCCAGAGAAAGGUUCUCUGAAACAGGGAAUUGCGUACGUGCGAGAGUCCAUAGUCACUAAUCCACUAUGGUGAUUCACUCUUCGCCUUGGAAAUAUACUCGACGAUUUUGUAACGCUUUAACUGUCCAAGGAGUCUUACCACGUCCAUUCACUAUUCAUGGGUUUCAUUCCGUGCAACGGAUUGGAUAAUUUUACGAGACUUAAAAGACUUGUUUACUGACGUUACAAUAACUACAUGAAUUUUUUUUCAUGUUUUGACUUCAUUCAGAUGAUAUUAGAAAUCACUUUCUGAUAAGUUACCCAUUCUACGUGUAACUAUAAUUAUGAAGUUUUUUUCUGGAUAUGUAACCGAAAAAAUAAGUAUAAUUUGAUGAUUAUAUAGUCAAAAAAAUUCUAUUAA